UACGGAGGGUGCAAGCGUUAUCCGGAUUCACUGGGUUUAAAGGGAGCGUAGGUGGGAUGGUAGUCAGUGGUGAAAUCUCCGGGCUUAACUCGGAAACUGCCGUUGAUACUAUCAUUCUUGAAUAUUGUGGAGGUAAGCGGAAUAUGUCAUGUAGCGGUGAAAUGCUUAGAUAUGACAUAGAACACCAAUAGCGAAGGCAGCUUGCUACACAAUUAUUGACACUGAGGCCCGAAAGCGUGGGGAUCAAACAGG
rnacentral:rRNA from 1 species